UUUGCGGUGUGGGAUGGGCCCGCGGCCUAUCAGCUUGUUGGUGGGGUAAUGGCCUACCAAGGCGACGACGGGUAGCCGGCCUGAGAGGGUGACCGGCCACACUGGGACUGAGAUACGGCCCAGACUCCUACGGGAGGCAGCAGUGGGGAAUAUUGCACAAUGGGCGCAAGCCUGAUGCAGCGACGCCGCGUGAGGGAUGACGGCCUUCGGGUUGUAAACCUCUUUCACCAGGGACGAAGCGUAAGUGACGGUACCUGGAGAAGAAGCACCGGCCAACUACGUGCCAGCAGCCGCGGUAAUACGUAGGGUGCGAGCGUUGUCCGGAAUUACUGGGCGUAAAGAGCUCGUAGGUGGUUUGUCGCGUUGUUCGA
rnacentral:rRNA from 1 species